UGGGGAAUAUUGCACAAUGGGCGCAAGCCUGAUGCAGCCAUGCCGCGUGUGUGAAGAAGGCCUUCGGGUUGUAAAGCACUUUCAGCGAGGAGGAAGGUGGUGAGCUUAAUACGCUCAUCAAUUGACGUUACUCGCAGAAGAAGCACCGGCUAACUCCGUGCCAGCAGCCGCGGUAAUACGGAGGGUGCAAGCGUUAAUCGGAAUUACUGGGCGUAAAGCGCACGCAGGCGGUUUGUUAAGUCAGAUGUGAAAUCCCCGGGCUCAACCUGGGAACUGCAUUUGAAACUGGCAAGCUAGAGUCUCGUAGAGGGGGGUAGAAUUCCAGGUGUAGCGGUGAAAUGCGUAGAGAUCUGGAGGAAUACCGGUGGCGAAGGCGGCCCCCCUGGACGAAGACUGACGCUCAGGUGCGAAAAGCGUGGGGCAGCAAACAGGAUUAGAUACCCUGGUAGUCCACGCUGUAAACGAUGUCGAUUUUGGAGGUUGUGCCCCUUGAGGCGUGGCUUCCGGAGCUAACGCGUUAAAUCGACCGCCU
rnacentral:rRNA from 1 species